rfam:Macaca mulatta chromosome 8, whole genome shotgun sequence.
UUUUUUGUACAAGUAUAUCUCAUGCAUUAUUUGGGACAUACUUGUACUAAAA